CCUACGGGUGGCAGCAGUGGGGAAUAUUGCGCAAUGGGCGAAAGCCUGACGCAGCGACGCCGCGUGAGGGAUGAAGGUCUUCGGAUCGUAAACCUCUGUCAGCAGGGAAGAACGGUCACUGUGCUAAUCAGCAGUGAAUUGACGGUACCUGCAAAGGAAGCACCGGCUAACUCCGUGCCAGCAGCCGCGGUAAUACGGAGGGUGCGAGCGUUAAUCGGAAUUAUUGGGCGUAAAGGGCUCGUAGGCGGUAUGUCAAGUCAAGGGUGAAAUCCCCGCGCUCAACGUGGGAACUGCAUUUGAAACUGUUUUUCUUGAGUAUCGGAGAGGUAAUCGGAAUUCCUAGUGUAGCGGUGAAAUGCGUAGAUAUUAGGAAGAACACCGGUGGCGAAGGCAGAUUACUGGACGACAACUGACGGUGAGGCGCGAAAGCGUGGGGAGCAAACAGGAUUAGAUACCCCAGUAGUC
rnacentral:rRNA from 1 species